UCUCAUUAUAUAUAUAUAUAUAUAUAUAUAUAUAUAUAUAUAUAUGGGGUAAAUAUUCUUACAUGUUUUAGAUCUCUCAGUCUACCCAUGACAAAUUAAUAAAAUCUAAAAACUCAAACCUAUAUUUAUAGUCCUCCCAAGUCUCAAGUGAGUUCAUAUUUAUUUCCGUAAUAUUAAACCUAACUAUACAUAUAAUUUAAGAUCGAAACGCUCACAUGGAUAUUUUUUUAAUUAAACUCGAUCAAUUGGCCAUCAUUUGACUAUUAAAAUAAAACUAAAAAUAAUAUUAUUUUAGAUGUCUUUGUAUAAAUGUCAAGAAACAAAUACGGUAUUUCCAGAGUUGGGAAGGAUGAAUAUGUAAAAAGGCAUAGCGAGAGGGCAUUCAUGACAUUUUAGCAACCUCGUUUUGCUCGACCGUCGCCACUGCUUCCGUUACACGAGAACGUGUCGGAAACGGCCGCGAAAUAAAUAGCUAAUCAACCCCCCCACCCCAAUUAAUGACGACCAAAUAAUUGAGGGAGGAUUAAAUAUAAACACAAAGAAUGUAAAGAAAUGCAUCCAAAUAUAAAGCCUAGUAAUUGAGGAUAAAGAAAUGUUAAUAUACAUAUAUAUAGUUUUGUUUCAGAUAUUAGCUUAAAUUAUAUCAUGGAAAACUGUAAUGAGGCAACUAAAUUAAAAAGGUAUUUUUUUGAUGUCUUCACAAAGCAAGCACAUUAAUUCCGAUAAGGCCACACUUAAAUAGAAUUUGACCCCCAGAUGAUAAAAAAGAUAUAUAUGUUCUAUUGCAUAAUCAUCAUUCAUAGUCAUACCUAUGAAUAAUUUGUCUCACCACGCAAAAAUCAAAUAUUUUCACAUGCCCUACACAUUUUGUAGGCACAUACACAAUUUACUGGUAUUAACUGUAUUCUCACACACAAUAUAAUCCAUAACAAUAUAAAUUAACCAAACUACAAUAAGUGAUCUAUGUGGAGACAUUAUAAUCCUGUUGAUGGGUCCGAUAACAUCUUGUAUUAUUAUUUUUUCUCAUCUUUCGAUCAAAUUUAAUUUGAUAGGACUGAAUCACUAUGGGUCUGAUUUAAAAUUGUCAUCAGUAUAAAGAACAAUAGAAGAUGUAGUUUAUCAUUCCUCAAGAUUUGGGGGGUCAUCAUGGUUGCUAAAAAAAAAAAAGAAUGCCACAAAGCACUAAUGAGUACAAGUUAGGAAGACAUGUGGAAUUGUUUAGGGAGAUGGCCAACCUUUUCAUUAUGAAGAUUAACACACAAAUUUAAUAAGCAAUAAUUAAGGGCAGUUGCAGUCCAACAUGAAAGGGACCAAUGCAAUCAUUCCUCUUUCAGUAAACAUGCAACUUGCAAUCUUAAACCAGCAGCAUUCCUUUAGAAGUUGUAAACUAUGGUAUAUAGCAUGCUUUAAAUUAGCUUCCAGCUCUAGAUGGUGCAGACUAAGAAGGUUGACGUAAACAUAUCAGAAUUGAGUUGAAUUCA
rnacentral:lncRNA from 1 species